rnacentral:rRNA from 1 species
AUUGAACGCUGGCGGCAGGCCUAACACAUGCAAGUCGAACGGUAACAGGAAGAAGCUUGCUUCUUUGCUGACGAGUGGCGGACGGGUGAGUAAUGUCUGGGAAACUGCCUGAUGGAGGGGGAUAACUACUGGAAACGGUAGCUAAUACCGCAUAACGUCGCAAGACCAAAGAGGGGGACCUUCGGGCCUCUUGCCAUCGGAUGUGCCCAGAUGGGAUUAGCUAGUAGGUGGGGUAACGGCUCACCUAGGCGACGAUCCCUAGCUGGUCUGAGAGGAUGACCAGCCACACUGGAACUGAGACACGGUCCAGACUCCAACGGGAGGCAGCAGUGGGGAAUAUUGCACAAUGGGCGCAAGCCUGAUGCAGCCAUGCCGCGUGUAUGAAGAAGGCCUUCGGGUUGUAAAGUACUUUCAGCGGGGAGGAGGGGAGUAAAGUUAAUACCUUUGCUCAUUGACGUUACCCGCAGAAGAAGCACCGGCUAACUCCGUG